CCUGCGGAGGGAUCAUUACUGAGUUUACGCUCUACAACCCUUUGUGAACAUACCUAUAACUGUUGCUUCGGCGGGUAGGGUCUCCGCGACCCUCCCGGCCUCCCGCCUCCGGGCGGGUCGGCGCCCGCCGGAGGAUAACCAAACUCUGAUUUAACGACGUUUCUUCUGAGUGGUACAAGCAAAUAAUCAAAACUUUUAACAACGGAUCUCUUGGUUCUGGCAUCGAUGAAGAACGCAGCGAAAUGCGAUAAGUAAUGUGAAUUGCAGAAUUCAGUGAAUCAUCGAAUCUUUGAACGCACAUUGCGCCCGCCAGCAUUCUGGCGGGCAUGCCUGUUCGAGCGUCAUUUCAACCCUCAAGCUCUGCUUGGUGUUGGGGCCCUACAGCUGAUGUAGGCCCUCAAAGGUAGUGGCGGACCCUCUCGGAGCCUCCUUUGCGUAGUAACUUUACGUCUCGCACUGGGAUCCGGAGGGACUCUUGCCGUAAAACCCCCAAUUUUCCAAAGGUUGACCUCGGAUCAGGUAAGAAUACCCGCUGAACUUAAGCAUAUCAAUAA
rnacentral:rRNA from 1 species